UGGUGGAGCGAUUUGUCUGGUUAAUUCCGAUAACGAACGAGACUCUGACCUACUAAAUAGUUGGCAGCUCAAUGCGACUGCAAAACUUCUUAGAGGGACUAGCGGUGCUAACCGCACGAGAUUGAGCAAUAACA
rnacentral:rRNA from 1 species